AAACCAGCACCUCAAGUGGUCAGGAUGAUUAUUGGGCCUAAAGCAUCCGUAGCCUGCUCUGUAAGUUUUCGGUUAAAUCUGUACGCUCAACGUACAGGCUGUCGGGAAUACUGCAGAGCUAGGGAGUGGGAGAGGUAGACGGUACUCGGGAGGAAGUGGUAAAAUGCUUUGAUCUCUCGAUGACCACCUGUGGCGAAGGCGGUCUACCAGAACACGUUCGACGGUGAGGGAUGAAAGCUGGGGGAGCAAACCGGAUUAGAAACCCGAGUAGUCC
rnacentral:rRNA from 1 species